UGUCAUUGUCAUCUAUUUUGUUUCGCAGUAUAAAAGCUUCAUUGCAGAAAUCUUUCCCCUUUUUGGUUGGGCUUAGUUGUUUUGUUUUGGGGGGGGCUAUCAUAAACAGGUUCCCCACCCCCAUGUCUUUAUCAAAAUUGUCAUUACUGUUAUUCUAGAAAAGUAUUGAUUAUUGUACAAUGUAUUGUAUAUAUUAUAUUAUAUGUGAUUCUAUUUUAUGGCCAAUUUAUAUUCUCUCUAUUGCUAAAAGUGUUCAUUAAUACUAAAUUUUCUAGGAGCAUCUUUAGAAUUGUUUAUGAAUAGGAUCAUUUUGACUGAAUGUAAGAGUAUUCUGAUUUCUUUCUGUUAUAUCUCAGUUCCUAAAAUUUCUUCCUUUUUCUUAUUUCCCUAACUGUAACUUCAAGCACUAUUGUGAAUAAGAGUACAAAUAUUGAACAUUUUUACCUCAUUGUUGAUUUUAGUGGAAAUAAUUUCAAUUUAUCUCACUUAAGUUGAUUAUAGGUUUGUUGUACUCAGUCUUUAUUAUUUUAAGGUAUACUCCUUCUACAUUUAGUUUAUUUGAAGUUGUUAUCAAGAAAGGUUGUAAGACUGUUAAAGUCCCUUUCAUUGUCUAAUGAAUAAUAACAAGCCUAUUUAUAUCAUGAUUUUUUUUUAACAUAUGAAGCUGUUUAAUUAGGUUAAUAAUUUAAAAAACCAGUUUGUGAGGAGAGAUCCCAUUUGUCAGGGAAAACUGAGAUCGCAGGUAGCCCUGGAGCUGAGGAACAGCUUUAAUCUUUGGCAAAAUCUGCGAGUCCAGAGCUUUCUGAUCAGCCUUUCGCUGCUCUGUAAUCUCGUAUUUGUCCUUCUCCGGGUCGAAGACCUCGCCCUCCUGAUGCCUGGGCUUGCACAGCUGCUGCUUCUUGAAGUAAGCGUCAGUCAGGUGUUUGGGGAUUUUAACAUCGCUGAUAUCAACUUUUGUAGAGGUGGCAAUGACAAACUUCUGGUGUGUUGUGCGCAGAGGAACUCUGUUGAUGACAAGAGGCAAUAAUAAGGCUAGGCACAGAAGCUCAUAUCAUGACUGGAUAAAGCAAUCCAGUAGGAGGGAAAGGGUCCCAAGAGCAAGCAGGAGUCAGAGACACCUAUACACCCACUGUUAGGAGUCCUACAAAGCCUUCAAGCUAAACAACACAGCAUGUAUGCAAGAAGACUUAGUGCAAACCCGUGUAGGCUCCCUGAUUGCUGCUUCAGGUACUGUGAGCCCCUAUGAGUCCUGCUUAGUUGAUUCUGCAGGCCAUGUUCUCCUGGUAUCCUCAGUCCCUCUGGCUUCUACAAUCAUCCCUCUUCCUCUUCGGUGGAGUUACUUUUACAUUUUGUAAAUUUCUCCCUGAUCUAUACUUGUACUAUAGAAAUCUAGAGUCCUUCCAUAGAUAACCAUGUCAAUUUGUAGUCACAUCCCUGUACCUUCAGUUUUAUACCAUGGAGGAAGGGGCAAGAGUUGGGUUCCUUUACUCUGCCACCUUGACCUCUUCUUCAAGGAAGUUUAUAUUCUUCCACCUAAGUUUCUCAUUCUAUACAAGGAUUUGCCCACAAUGUACUUUAAGCCAAAUGAACUCUAACCAAAUAAAUUAUGAUACAUUUAUC
rnacentral:lncRNA from 1 species